CCGCGUUCGCGAAAGCGCGCUUUAGCUUCUCUCUCGCCACCGUCCGCCCGCGAAUCACGAGGCUCCGACGACGCCCUGCGAGUCACGUAGGCAACGUGGCUCUCAGCUCGCGGCUCCGGGGCCGAGAAAUGACGCAAACGACGACGCUUGUUAGCACGGCGACGCGAUGCAAAUUGGAGAUCGCGAUUUUCGCGACGGACAUAGAUAACGCGUUACAUGAUAUAUAUCGCGCGCGAUACUCGAUCUAUAUUCCCACGAUGCUGCUCGAAAUUCGAAGUCAUCUCUUUCGUCACUCUGCAGUAACUGUUUUUAUUUUUUUUUUUAUUUCAAUAAACUCGUUUUCGCAACGAGUUUGCCCAACAUUGUUAUUGUUUCUUUCGACGCGUGUAAUAGCGAUAACGUCGAUUAUAAAAUUCGCACAGCAAAUGUCAUAUAGCGAGAGUAGGGGAGAUCCUGAUCCCCCUCCCCUUCGUUACGACGCGAAUUCCAACCAAUGUUACAGUACGAUUUCACAUCUAUCGAUAAAUUAGAAGAACGAUAAGACACUAGUUUCGCAUUCGCGCAUCCAUAGAUUCCGACGGUUUUUAAUUUUUACUUCGUCUUACAACGAGACCGAUCGAGAGUGAGGUUUAAAGCGAGAUAUUCGCGAGGAUGGGCGCGAGUGAGAGUCGCUGAUUCUUCGCGUUCGCCGGCUUCGACCGCGCCAUUUUGCGCGUAAUAAUAUAAGAGAAGCAGCGUUUUUCUACGCCGUAUACACACGCAUAUAUCCGCCGUCGAAAAAGGGAAAGAGGAUCGCCUUCGUUCUCGCAAGGGCGACCUUCUUCGUCGCCCUUGUUUUUCAUCGAUGGUGUUUUGGGCCACCGAAUCGAGAUAAGCACGGCGAAAUGAUGCCGGCUGCGUCGCAUGUUUCGACGAUGCGGAUGCGCGCGCACAGCGCUCUCCGGUCACGUACGCCGUGAUCGACACGUAUCACGCCACCGUGGUGGGGGGAGAAGGAACGCGCGCUUCAUGGCGGGAGAGGUGCGUAGAACAACCGAGAACAUUGAAUGUGACGUCGCAAAUGGAGGGAGACAGCCGGCCGACGAGCGUCGCGCAUGAAUUUCAAAUAAAAUAUACGUGUAUACAAGGAUUUUUUUGAAUGAAGUAAAGAUUAGCUCCUAGGAUUCUUUAGAGAGUCUAAGCGACGAUAUGUGAGACAGGCGUUUCAAGGUCGAGGACGAGAGAAGAAAUGACGCCGGCUCUUGAUCUCUCCCGUUUCGCCUUUGGAAUAUUUACCGUCGACGAUUUGAGAAUAUUUGUCGGUCGCCGGCGAAAUUGCGUAACCAUUUGCAUCCACAUCGGAAACAAUCGAGGAAUUUGCUGAGUAGAAAUAAGGCGUCUUAAGAAAACUUAUUUUCCAGAUUGCCAGAUACACGCCUCGGAUACACACAAACACGGGAUGAGGAUUCGAGGAAAUGGAUUUCGGUCGGAGCCGUACGUUUUUUGCGCAUCCUGUGGAACGAACAUGAACCGCGCGCGGAUGAGCUUAAAGGAGAACGAUCACGAUGAGAGAGGGUUACGUAACCGAGGGGGAACCGAUACGCCGGCCGGCCAGCCGGCCGGCCGGCAAGCAAGCACCGGUGCUGGCGUUUUUCAGCUACGUAUUUCGACAUGGUAUAUAUUCGUAUAUAUCUAAUAAUUUGUUUAAUGAAGAAAUUUUACAGGCCUUUUAUUUAUCCUCUCGCGAUUGCUGCGAUUAUCCGCGUACGAUCUGAGUAACGCAAUAUUUACACGGAGAUGAUUCACACGCACAUGUGUAUGUACAUACGCGAGGUAGUCGAGUCUCAAAGGGAUGCGUGAUCUGCGCAAAUCAUCGAUAUCAAUAAAGACGCCCAAUAAAAGCAAACUUCGUUUCAAAGCAAGCUGUCGCCGAAAUACCUUUGUAAGAACGAUUAUAUGCACAUAUAAAAAAAAAAACACAUUUGCAAGAUAAUAAGUUAAUAAUAAACCUGAAAGAAAAUAUUGGUUGAAAAAAAAAAACAUAUCUUACGAUACUGUUAAUGAAGCAUGAAUAAAUCAUUGGACAUCUGCGCUUAUUUAUAUCUAAAAUUUUUCCAAGAACGAAUUACACGAUUUCUUCUUUGAUGAUUCAUGAGCCGAUGUGAACAAUAUGCUAAUUUAAAUUAUUUGAAUUAUAUAUUAAGGGGGAGAGGGAAGGGAAUGUGAAAUCUAAUCGUACUUUCAUCAAAAUUAUCUCCCGCCUUCUCGAGUAAAUUAAUUCCGAUUGCGUUAAUGAAUUCUAAAUUGGACGUAACUUCCUGCACGCGCGUGGCCAGGAAAGAUAAACACAUUGAGAAGAAUUCUUUAUGAGCCUAAGUUUCGCCACGAGCGAAAAGAAAAAUUUCUUCUUCCUCUCCCUCUCUUUUUCCCCCACAAUCUUCCCUGCCAAGCAUCCUCUCCCCCUCUUCCCUCCUCGAGUUUUAAGAACCCGAUGACCUUCCGACUCCUACGCAUCGAAAAUACGCUCUAGCAAGAAUCACAGCGAACUUAUUUAAUCGUAAGACGGCGACGAUAAAGGGGACGAGAGAAAUAUUCGGUAGACACAAUGAGCGAGCGAGCGAUAUAUAUAUAUAUAUUUUUUUUUUAUUCUGCGCGUCGUAAAAUCGCGCCGAUAGUCUUUGGCUUCGAUAUUCGCAUCGGUAUUCGCCAGCGAUGAAGCGAAAACACACAUUUUUGCGUCUACGCCGAUUAAAUAUCGUCGGCCCGACGCGCAAAUACAUUUUUCACGAGACACACGUGUUAUCUCAGAAAGAGAGCGUGCACACGCGUAUGCGUCAGAAUAUUUAUUUUCGCUCGCGCGAUUGUCAAGUUCUAGAUUGUCAAGUAAUACAUCAAUAAUAAUUUUCCACGUGAAUCAUAAUAGUCGCCAGACAUAGAUAAACUCGAAAAACGAACGGUAUCGCGGUAAAUGACAGUUGCGUAACGUAAGUUAAUUAAUUAAAUGGAGGUGGUUUAAUUGCGCAUUUGAUAUCGACUGCUGACGAAUCUUCUGAUCGCACGUGCGUACAUUGAUAGCGAAUUUUGUAGUCGUGCGGCAUGCCUCGUAUGUAUGAGACAGUAAGUUAUUACGACUCUAUUCGACCGGGAGAGAGAGGGGGUAAGGGGGAAGGUCGUAUUAUGCAAAGAACUCUGUAGGUAGAUAUCGUGGCCAUCAAUAUUCGGACAAUAGAUCUCAAGGAUGCUUUUCUAGAGCAUAUUUGGUAUUCUUAGGCGAAUUAGCAUAAGAUGAGAGAAUAAUAUCCAAAAAAUAAGGAAACUUUAUUAAAUAAUCGUCGCAAAAAACAACAUCGCUAGUUGUGUUGGCAUAAAAAAAACCGGUUUGAAAUCACCAAUGAUGAUGGCAAUAUAUUUCCUUUUUCUUCUUUCUUUAUUCUCCGCAAGCGAUGCAAAAAUCUUCUCUCCCUUUAUUGAGAAGCGAAUGAAUGACUUACGAAGAGAAAAAUCUCCUAAGAAGAAAGGAUUACUCGCUUAUUAUAGAAUUUUUUUUUACUCUCGGCACUUACAGUAGGGGAUCAUCGCUAUUAGUGGAUAAGUCUUAACAUCGCGGACUAGAAUAGAUAGUUGCUGUUAGUUUUUCACGAUGCUACGAAGCGUGAAGUGCAUAAAGACAUUUGAUCGAUUAAGAGUAUUGUUUGCGAUCGUUUUCUUAUCAAAGCAUCUCGUGAAAGAUAAGUGAAUAUGAUAAUGGGUUGCUUCGAUUAAAAGCGAGAUAUCUUGGCUUAUUUUUUUUUUCUUUUUUCUUUUUUGAAACCAAGAUGAAUUAUAUAAAGUUUUGAAUGUUAUAAAGUUUUUUUAGCUUUACAUAAAGAGAGUGAGAAAUAUGAAUUGAAUAGAUUACGAUCGAUAAUACACCGUGAAUUAAUAAUUAAUAAAAGUAUAGUGUUAUUUUAAUUAUACAAACUGAAAGCAUGAUUUAUCAAUCCAUUUUAACCAGUCAAAGGGCUCGCGAAAGAGGCGAUGAACUCGAUUGACCUAAGAUCAUCUUUUUUUCUGUUGCGCUCUCUCUCUCUCUCUCUCUCUCUCUCUCUCUCUCUCUCUUUAUCUCGAUAAGUUCCGAAAUAAAAUCGUGUAUGAUAGCGCGAUUUUAUGCAGAAACUUUUAUAAUAUCAACUCCUCUCUUUGCCAUUUUUAUUCUCAUAACGAUCAUAUCAAUAAUAUUUUCAUUAUCCUCUCAAUAUAACUUAUUAAUCUCAAUUUCUCAUCAGAGUCAUUUUUUUUUUAUUUUUCCUGUGAGAUAAAGAUCACAAGAUCGGCCGAUUCCUCGAAUUACGACUGUCAUUAGCGGAAAAAAUUAAUUUAUGAAGAUAGAGACGAGAGAUUGCUCGCGCGCGUACAUUAUUAUUUUUAUCGCUACUUAUAAAAGAGACCAUGCGCGGCGUCAUUCCUAUUUCCUCGCGUAUCGAUUCGCGAGAGAAAAAAAGCACGCGUCGCGCGGAGCCUUUAGGUCAAAGGUAGCGUCGUAUAAUCGGGCGUGUAAAAGUGAAUCCGCGAGAUUUAUAUAUAUAUAUAUAUAUAUACACGUGCGACAGAGGAAUUCUCAGGGUGCAAUCAACCUGCGCUCAGAGGUACAUCGCACUGUGUUACGCCACGCGGAAAGCCUUGACUUUAUUGCACGCUGCGCGACAACACACGUCGCAAUACGCCAACUCCUUUCCCUUUUUAUGGCGCUCGUUGCCGUUCAUU